UUUCAGCAGUGCACCAUGCCUUGGUGAGAAGUGGAAGCAGACCUUUAGAGAUGCAUCCUGGACACUCCUUUUGCCCCCCUUGGUGAAAGAAGGAUGGGAUGCUGCCAGGACAGCCACAGUUUCUGCAACACAAAGCUGAAAUUACAAGAUUGUUGUCGUAAGAAAGCAGAAACAGUGUAUGGCACUCUGUGCCCUGCAGUGCUGCCGUUCUUCCGUUGUUUUUACAAACAUUGCUACCUUUCUAGGCAGCCAGGGCUGCUAAUUUCUUCUCAUUACAACUAUAUGAAAAAGAAGUGAGAGAUACCUCUAGUACACCAAUAUUAAUAUGGUGAAUAAUUAAGCCAUCAAGAAAACUGUGUAUGUUUUCAAAGAAGCCAAGCACCUGCACACGGACAAUUUCUGUCUUAUAGCUGUGUUUGAGAAUAGUGAGAAUGGGGAAAAAAAGCCUUUGCUGUAUCUCCUUCAAGACAGACAGGAGUGUGUUUAUUUUCACCAAAUAUCCAUACACAUAUGACACUCUCUCAGAAAUGGACAGUUGCUGGAAGAGUAACACCUUUUUAUUCCUUAUGAUAUAUGUCCCGCACGUGCAUCUCCUGUAUGUGUGCAAAUACAGGAGGAAGGAAGUCCUGGAAGACUUGGGAGCUCUCAGUGGGAAACCAAGGCAAAGGGCACAGUUCUCAUACAAAUGGGCAAAGGCAUCUGGGCCUCAUUGAAGUCUUGCAAAUAAUUAAGAAUAUUAGACCUCUGGUUACUGAUCAUCUUGCAGAAGUAUGUAUUUCAUCUAUCUGUCCUGGAUUUCUUUUUGCUUCUACCCCAUAUUGUGAGACAGGAUAUUACAAUAAGUUCUUCAUAUUUCUUUGUCAGUGUAACAACAUUCUCCAGGCAAAAUGUGUCACACUUUUCUCCAUCGGAUUGUUAUUUCUCUAGAGCCAUAAAAGUUGGCAUACCAUAAGUGCCAGUGGUGCUUAAAAGCCUGUCUUGAUGGGGAAAUGGAUUGCAAAAAUAGUAUUUCCUUACUUUUGUAAUGAAAAAAAAAGGAACAGUUUUGUAAAAUAGCUGUUCAGUGAAAUACACAAAAAUGCCAUUAGUAUGAAGGAUAAAAGUUCUCCUGCAAUUCAGGAAGAGACCCUUUUUCGUUGUGCUUUUAUUAUUUGUAAUUAAUGUGCUCACCUCAGAUUUCUGCCAACAGCCCAGCGCAAAAUGAAUCUCUGUGCAUUCUCUCUUUGUUUCUCCUUGUUCUAUCAUGCUGUGUACCAUUAUGAGAAUGUAAGGGAAUAUAUGUAUGUAUAUAUAUGGCAGGAUCUCUAAUCACAUAUUUUUUGCUAAUUUUAGUUCAAAUACAGAGUUAGUGACAAUGUCAAUACAAACACAGUCUGUUUCAAGGUGUGUAUACCCGUGUAACAAAAACAGUCAGGAAAGGACUUAGGGAGCACGGGACAGAGGUGUGCAGCAGAACGCACCUCUUCUGUGCCAUAUCCAAAUACGGUACCUAAUUUUCAAUAGAAAAGGCAAAAACAUGGAAACAUGGCCCCAGUGUCCGCAAAGUGGACACUGCACAAACAGCAGAAAAUGCUUAUUUUUCAUCUAAUGAAGUGACUAGUCAAAUUCUGCUUACUGUAUCCUGUGCGUAGCAUAGUUGCUUAUGCGUAUCAGUAUAGAAUUUAUAUUCCUCUAUCUGCACCAGCCGAAAACAC
ensembl:lncRNA